AAUAAAUAAAUAGAAGGAAAAAAAAAUAGAAAAACUGGAACGAGAGGAAACAGAGGCGGCGGUCACAAUUGGAGAAGAAAAGUUGGGGAGGAAAUUAGAAUCAGAUAUUGGUUGCUGUUGUUGCUGUGUUCUAUGGUUGCCGGGAUUGAAGAUGUACUUGUGUUCCUAUUGUAGCUGCCCUUUGUUCAUGAGAGCCCUAGAUUUAUAAAAACUCUGUUUAUAUACUUUUCAAACAGAAGAUGUAUUUACUUCAUAUCAGCUUGUAAAUUCUAUUCUUAGAAACUCAUGAUCUGUACUACUAGUCCUUGGGGAUGUAUAAGACUUAGAUAAAUCCUUUGUUAAA